CGCCAAGCCAAAAACCAAUUGCUAUGCCAUUAACAAGUGCAAGGCCAUCUUUAGGCUCCAACUCAAAAAAUCCUCCACUAACGCCAGAAAGCUUUAAGGCUUCCUUAGCAUUUAGAGUCUCUCCAGCAGGACCCACGACCUUUGAAUUGGGCCAACCGAUCAAGAAAUUGACAAUGUAGAAUAAAGGAACAAGAUCAUCGAUUGCAGUGAUCGUCCAUGUAAUGGAAAGAAUAGAGUGAUAUUGUGGUUAAGAAAUUUUGUCGAACCUUCAAGAAUCCACCUCCACUAAAAAGAAUUUAUACCCUUUUGCAUCUAGAGUAUUGAGCGAGAUUAGAUUCUUUUUCAGGUCUAGAACAUGUCGAACUUAAUCAAUUAUUCCUACUGUCCUAUCCCACAAUCUAAAUCUGACUCGACAUAUCCUAGCAAUAUGGCAAGACUGGUUGUUUCCCAUUAUAACUCUACCUUGCUAAAUAGUCUCAUAUGUCUAAAAGAGAUUUCGAUUGGAACACAUGUGAUGCGAACAUGCUGAAUCGAGAAUCCACUCCUCGUCAGGCCUAUAUUCCACCUCAGGUAUGAUGAUCAACAUCACAUCUCCGCCAUCUGAAAAAUCUUCAACUACAUUUGUUUCGUCUGAAAUCAAAGGUUGAACUCCACGAUUUGUAGCUAAAUCACUUUUAGCCUACAAUUUAUCUCGAUUCUUCCGAAUAUGUCCCUUACAUCUGUAGUAAAGGUAAAACAAGUUGCUAUUAUUUUUCGAUCUGCCCCUCCGUCGACCACCAUGAGAUACGAUAGCUUCAUCAUCCUUGAUGUAGCUCCAAUCAAAUGCUUCAACCUUUCCUUUGAAUGCAAAGCAUCAUAGACGUCGUUUAUAGUCAAAAUAUUCAAACUAUUCAAAAUGGUGUCCCCAAAACGAGGCAUAAGAGCCAGGCAGCAAACACAACAAUAUCAAGGCCAGAUCAUCUUCAUCGUACUUAACCUUCCACACCUCCAUAUCUACAACUAUUUCCUUAAAUAUGGUGAUAUGGUCCUCCAGUGACCCUCCUUCCGCCUUGGAUGGGAAUAUAACUUCUGCUUUAGAGUCAGUUUGCUCAUGAGACUUUUAGUCAUGCAUAACUGCUCCAAUUUCAACCACAAAGUAACCGUUGUUUUCUCAUUCACGACAUCCUACAGAAUAUUGUUGAAUAAAUGAAGAUGGAUCUGCGAUAAAGUCUUUAGAUCCUUCCAUUGUUUCUCUUCUACUGUCCAAUCAGCUGGCUCUUCUCAAAACCCAGUAGCACAUCGUCCAAAUUCAGUUGUGCCAAAAUAGCCCUCAUCUUUACGUGCCACAAAGAAAACUUUGUAUUACGAUCCAGCAGUGGAAUGUCAUACUUCAUAGUAGUUAUCUCUGAAAAAACCUCAACCAAUCCGUAGAAGAAAAACCCGGUUCUCAUACCACUUGUUGGACCCCGAGAAAUUGUAAUGAAUGAGAUUAAUUACACAAUAUGAAGUAAUAUAGAUCAUAACAAGAAAUAAGAUUAAAAGUAAAGAAUAACAAAGAGAGUUAAUACAGAUGAACGAUGUAUAUUAACUGACAAUAUUGAGAGAAAUUACAGACACGACAAUAAUAUUUAAACAAAACUGAUAGAGGAGCCUUAUAUUUAUAGGUCACAUUCCAAACCCUAAAAAAGUCUCAAAAGGUAAGAAAAUCUGUUAAAAUUAAGUUACAAUUGUACAUAGAACUUCAACCAGGAGAUGAUUUCCUUUCCUUAUUCAACUUGGAUACAAUCUUCCUUUCCAAGUAAAAAUCAAAUACACAAUCUCACAAGACUCUUAACCAUAUUUAUGUCACAAAACCUAACAUUUAUUGCAUCCGGUUCGGUCCCGGUUGAACUUUUUAACACUUCACCGUUUCCAAGUUGAUGACCGGGUCGAUUUUCAAAACAUUGAUUUUCUGUAUAAAUUUAUACAUCUCUUCAUGAUGCAUAGAUAAUUUUCUAUUUUAUGAGUUGAUUGUAAGUUAUGAUUUAUCAUAUUUGAGUUAUAAUUUAUUAUGAGUUUUGACUGCGAGUUAUGAUUUAUGAGUUAUGAUGUGAAAAUUUGGAAUUUUGUGAAUUUGAAAAUAUGUGAUAUAUGUGAAUUGUGGCAUAUGAAUAUGUGACAAGAGAAAAUGAUAAAUUUACGAUUUGGUGCAUUUAUAUAUAAAUUGAAGAAUUGUUAAUACAAUUUAAUGAAAUAUUAAUUAACAUCAUUGCUAUUACAAGUGUUGACUAUCGAUGGUCAAUGACCACCCUAACUGACUUCAAAUCCUGGAUCUGUCAUUGAGUCGAAGACUGCUGCAUAAAUGUUGUCUAGAACAAUAUCUAAAGAGUUCUUGAUUACUUAGUACAGUUUGGCAAAGCUUUUUUUUUUAAAGCCAGUCAAACGUAUGUUUUAUCCACACAUUUUGAAUAAUUGACAAAUUACUAGUCAAUUAUUAUCUAGACAUUUCAUUGGACCCAUGACUUACAAACACUUACAUACAUUGCAAAACUUUUUGGGUGUGUGUGUAUAUAUAUAUAAAAGAAAAGUUGGAGAAAUUAUUUUUUUACCUGAUUAACUUGGAGAAAUUAUUUUUUUACCUGAUUAACUCCUUUUGGAGGGCACCACCUUGCUUUCUUCUUCUUUUUUUUUUUUUUUACAAGGUAUCCAAUUCUUGACUAAUCCUUGGGUCUGUGAUCCGGCCUCUCUUUACACAGUCCAGUUAAUCGCGAGAUGUGCCUCCAACUAGCCAAGGUCCGAGCCCUCCCCACCUGAUUUGCCAAAGUACCAAGCAAGCCAAUCCAAGUUGCACCUUGCCUUCCAAGAAUAAUCCUUGCCUUCCAAGAUUUCUCUUGCCUUCCAAGAGCCCCAUGAAUCGAACACACGACCUCUGAUCUGCCAGGUUUGACAAAGCCCGUCCGUUGCCAGUGGAAAAGUGCCUCGGGGGGCGGCACCACCUUGCUUUCUUCUCCUAGGGGAAGUGGCACCAAAACUGGUGGUGAUAGCAUAACUGUUAGUUGCUUUAUUCAUACUACCCAUAACCCAAUCACUGUUGGCCUUGACAUCGGCCCUGGCCGCCUCCGCCAGCUCUACCAUGAUAGCAUUAUCUUUGGCAGCUAUCGUCGCCACCUGGGGAUAUGGUCAAGGUUUCAUCAUCGUGCUUCACCAUUGGCUUCCGGAACUCCUUUACCAUGCGCUUCACCUUAUCCAAAUAGCUGCCCUUUAUUGAGUCAGCUUCCAUUCCCCAGUUCAAUGGAUCCUUCAAGCAAAAUCCAAAACUUUGCUAUCAUUUUCCAUUGUACACUCCAUACGUGAAAGAAUGGAAAACAAUGAAACGAUAUAUAUAAGCAG
rnacentral:lncRNA from 1 species